rnacentral:lncRNA from 1 species
GGAAGUCUUGUGAGAGAGGGACUAACAGGGAGUAUGUUUGUUUGUCUCCUUUGAGACCUACACUGAAUUUAUUGAAUAUUCUGGUCUUUUCCUCUCUAGCCACUACCUCCUUCGUUAGACCACAAGGUAUGUCCUUUUGGAAAAGUCAACUUCAUUGAUCUGCAAGGACUGUUGAAAAUUUAAAAAUUUGCUAUGGGAUUUCUGACAUGCCAGAAGCCACUAGAAAAAGAAUUUUGAUGUUCAGAACCUCAUGAAGAGGUUCCCCUCAUCUUUGGAUAGAGACCAAAAUGAUGCUUUCAAGUAAAUGAUGACAUCAGCAGGAACACAGAACUUGUUGGUUACAAGGUGGAACACUUGUGUGCCAUGAAGCCAAAAGUCAGCUGGCCCUCUCCUCAGGUGUAGAGCACCUAUUAUCAUUUCACCUGUUUUGAUUCUCUGAUGAGGAAAAUCCCAGGACUUAUCAGCCGGGAUAGGCCUCAUUUCCAAGACAGCUCUGUUCAGUGUUUGGAAGAAAGCCUGACAGGUUUCUCCGGAAAAGUGGCCAUCCAUGGAAUGAAUGAAAUGUUCCCUUUCUGUUCCAGUAAGUAAUUGACUUGUAACUAAAAAUUGAACUGGCUGCUAUGUCAAGUGCAGUGUGAGCUGCUGCCGGCACAGGUGUUGCUUACUCUUUAGCCUGGAAAGAAAAGGGGCUUAACCUGUGAUUACAUUUCAAGUCAAUUGACCUCAACAUGAUAGUACAUAAUUCUCACUUGCCUUCGGAAUGGCCUGAGUUCUCAUUUGACCCUGUUUCUGGCACCUGUGUUUUUAAUGUUUGGUGUAGCUGAAGCUAGAGUUGCUCUUUUGGUUAGAAAUAAAGUGGGUGGAGAACAGUUCUAAGUAAAUAACAAAGGAUGGGCAGCGGACUAAGUCCUUAAUCCAGUGCUCAAUGUGUUCUGUUUUUUUUUUUUUUUUUAAUGCAAUAACUCUAAGUUCAAGUAAAUUAUUAUUCAAACUUUCACUUUAAGAAGUAUGGAUUCAUGAAUGACCAUUUUAGUACUA